AGAGUUUGAUCCUGGCUCAGGGUGAACGCUGGCGGCGUGCUAACACAUGCAAGUCGAGCGGUGCAGCUGGAGGCUUCGGCCGAAGGCCGCAUAGCGGCGGACGGGUGCGUAACGCGUAGGAACGUGCCCCCUGGAGGCGGAUAGCCGUGGGAAACUGCGGGUAAACCGCCAUAGACUCGGGAGAGUAAAGGCCGAAAGGCGCCAGGGGAGCGGCCUGCGUCCCAUCAGGUAGUUGGUAGGGUAAUGGCCUACCAAGCCUACGACGGGUAGCCGGUCUGAGAGGAUGGCCGGCCACAAGGGCACUGAGACACGGGCCCUACUCCUACGGGAGGCAGCAGUGGGGGAUAUUGGACAAUGGGCGAAAGCCUGAUCCAGCGACGCCGCGUGGAGGACGAAGCCCUUCGGGGUGUAAACUCCUUUUGUCGGGGAAAAAGGGCUGAUGGUACCCGACGAAUAAGCCCCGGCUAACUACGUGCCAGCAGCCGCGGUAAUACGUAGGGGGCGAGCGUUACCCGGAAUCACUGGGCGUAAAGGGUGCGUAGGCGGCCGCGUGUGUCUGGCGUAAAAUACCACGGCUCAACCGUGGGAAUGCGCUGGAAACUACGUGGCUUGGGUGCGGCAGAGGCAGACGGAACUGCUGGUGUAGGGGUGAAAUCCGUAGAUAUCAGCAGGAACGCCGGUGGAGAAGUCGGUCUGCUGGGCCGUAACCGACGCUGAGGCACGAAAGCUAGGGGAGCGAACCGGAUUAGAUACCCGGGUAGUCCUAGCCGUAAACGAUGCUCACUAGGUGUGGGGGCGGAAGCCUCCGUGCUGAAGCAAACGCGAUAAGUGAGCCGCCUGGGGAGUACGCCCGCAAGGGUGAAACUCAAAUGAAUUGACGG
rnacentral:rRNA from 1 species